AGCCGCUAGCAUCAAAACGAGUU
rnacentral:siRNA from 1 species